rnacentral:misc_RNA from 1 species
AAGUCGUAACAAGGUUUCCGUAGGUGAGUGGACGAGAGUUCCCUUCGCGCCGCGCGUUUCCCCUGCUAACCUUUGUGACCUAGGUGAACCUGCGGAAGGAUCAUUAACGAGAGAGGGUCCUCCGGGGCCCGACCUUCCCACCCUGUGUGUACGUACCUCUGUUGCUUCGGCGGGCCGCUGGGAACCCCUUCACGGGGGGGAUCACCGUCGGCCUUUGCGCUCUCGAGUGCCCGUCGCAGGACCGUCACAAACUCUUUUGAAACGAGCAUGUUCUGAGUGGAUAUUAAUGCUUCAAUAAAA